rnacentral:rRNA from 1 species
ACCGCGAGGUUAAGCUAAUCUCUUAAAGUCGUUCUCAGUUCGGAUUGCAGGCUGCAACUCGCCUGCAUGAAGUCGGAAUCGCUAGUAAUCGCGGAUCAGCAUGCCGCGGUGAAUACGUUCCCGGGCCUUGUACACACCGCCCGUCACACCAUGAGAGUUUGUAACACCCAAAGCCGGUGGAGUAACCAUUUGGAGCUAGCCGUCUAAGGUGGGACAGAUGAUUGGGGUGAAGUCGUAACAAGGUAGCCGUAGGAGAACCUGCGGCUGGAUCACCUCCUUUCUAAGGAA